GACAACUGGAGGUGAAAAGAGAGUGUAUGAAGAGUGAGCGGGGUUCAAAGUAAAGAGGAGGACGAGAACCGUCAAUAUCAGGAGCGAGUUGAUGGGGGGAAAGAUCCACGACGACGACAACACCUCCACAGACUACCGAGGUGUGUGAGUGUGUGUGUAUGAGAGAGGGAGGAGGGAGUGUGUGAGAAUUGGAGAAGGGGAGGGAUAUCCACUGCACUGUUGUGUGACUGGAAAUUUAAUAGAGAGAGAGGGAGGGAGGGAGGAAGGCAGGAAGGCAGCAGGGGAGGGUAGAGGAAGGAGCAACGCAAUGUAAAAGCAGUGAGUGGGAGACAGUUGUUGGAAUAACAGAGGAGUGGGGUACAGUGCUGGACCCUCUCUGCAGAGUAUCGGGGGGCUGUGUGUUUGUUUGUGUGUUGUAGAGGGGAGGGGAGGGGGUGGUUUAAGUGAGUGGGAACAUAAAGUGCUAAAAGGAGGAAAUAGACCAUGCAGAGAGGAACAGGUUGGACCCCCUGUUGCUGCAUCCAGACUUAACAUGCCAGGGUCACUCCUUAUGUUAUUCCCCGUGUAAAUCAGGCUCGUGUGUGUGUGUGUGUGUGUGUGUGUGUGUGUGUGUGUGUGUGUGUGUGUGUGUGAUGGAGCAAAGCUGUGAAGGAGAUACGUG